CUAAACACUCUAAACACAUUGUCAUGUGCACUCAUAUUUCAAAUCAGAUGUUUCAAAGAAAAUCAACAUACAUGUGGAAGGAAAGAAAAAACAACUUGAUCUCAAGUAAAAGAAAAAAAUAGUUUAUACCAGGUAGUUGCACAAACUACAGAUUUCGGUGUUCCAGCAUUAGCACAGUUGCAACCUCACACUGAGCGUCAUUCAGUCAAUUCCUACGCUUGUCUCGUUUCAAAAAAUUCUGACGCCUAUACUUGCAUUUUUGACUGUUUGCGUUGACUCCCUCACUUCUUCUUGCCUCCUCUCCAAAUCCUCCGCAUCCUUCUUGGACUUCUGUUUUGUUGUUGGCCAUGGCCCAUGCUCUGCACUGUGCAACUCCGUGUGUGAAAGGGUUUUCUGAUGUCGGCGAAGAUGCUAAUUGAAGUUGAUAUUUUACAUCCCUUGGUCAUGAACUCAUGAUCGAGUGGUCCAAAUUUGUGAUCAAAAUCAGACAAAUUUGCUUUUGGAUAAGAAUAUAAUAAUUGAUCUCAUCAGUGCCCACUACAAAGUCUAGCCUAAAUUUUCUGUCUCCUAGCUUUUCCAUUUGGACCUGAAACCAUUAAAAACAAAAUUGGAGCAAGUAGAGUACACUGCAUUGGUGUUGGGAAAAUGGGAAGGAACUUGCAGUGUUUCGCAAGGGUUUGAAAAAAGAGUUCACAUAAAGAAUACACCUACUCACCUGCGUAUGGCUGGCAGAGGAAUAAACAACCAAUUUUGAUCUCGAAUAGUUGGGCACAGAUCAUUUCUGAGUCCAAACGCUCCAGCGUUGAGGUUUGACCAAGAUGACAAAGAUUACUAUUAUACUGAUGAUAACCAAUCAUACUUCUCGAGGUUUGUUUCAGGUUAAACACAAUAUCGUUAGUGGUUACGACUGAUUGAGAUGUGUGCUCAGACAGUCACAACACCACGUUGACCUGCGAUUCUGCGAGCUGAACUAAAUCCAUGGUCUGAAUUCUUAACAGCAACUCAACCUGCUUGCAGCAUCGUGCUG
rnacentral:lncRNA from 1 species